rnacentral:rRNA from 1 species
AUUGAACGCUGGCGGCAGGCCUAACACAUGCAAGUCGAACGAGUUGCGGACGGGUGAGUAAUGUCUGGGAAACUGCCUGAUGGAGGGGGAUAACUACUGGAAACGGUAGCUAAUACCGCAUACCAUCGGAUGUGCCCAGAUGGGCUUAGCUAGUAGGUGGGGUAAAGGAGCACCUGGGCGACGAUCCCUAGCUGGUCGGAGAGGAUGACCAGCCAAACUGGAACUGAGACACGGUCCAGAAUCCUACGGUAGGCAGCGGUGGGGAAUAUUGCACAAUGGGCGCAAGCCUGAUGCAGACAUGCCGCGUGGAUGAAGAAGGCCUUCGGGUUGUAAAGUACUUUCAGCGGGGAGGCGUUACCCGCAGAAGAAGCACCGGCUAACUCCGUGCCAGCCGCCGCGGUAAUAC